rnacentral:lncRNA from 1 species
AUCAAGUUCAAUCUUUCCUAGCUAUCAAGGACAAAAUUGCUAUCCUAGUUUGAAGAAUUGAAGCCUUAAAACUCCAGGGACACAUCCAAGUGAACCAAGUUUCAACAUCCACUUGCAAUGAGUGUAAUGCCAUAGACUACACAAUAGAAGUAUAUCCCUUUUUGAUGGGCUCAACCGGGAAUGAAGUAGCACAGGUCAAUGCUGCUUAUCACAGACCCACAAAUGCCUCCUAUGCACCAACGUAUAACCCAGGAUAGAGGAAUCACCUCAAUUUUUCUUGAUCAUAAGGGUCAAACUGAAGUAGACUUGCCUUCAAUCAGCCCAACCCC